CCGUCCCACGCAUGGCCUAGCGAUCAUUAAUGCUCCCUGAAAUCACGUUUCCCUUCGUUAAUCUUCCAGCACAUCCAUCCACAUUCUCUCUCCUCACCGAAUCCCUUCCCACACCUCCUUCCUCUUCUCCCGACCGCGCCGAGCCUGGUGACUGGUGAGGCACCGGGUAAAAUGGCAAAGCCACGCUCCGCUCCCUAGCAGGGCGGACGAGGAGGCGACGCCGCUCCGCUCGACUCCACUGUUCGAUCUGUCGGGCAGCUCUCAGAAAAACAUCCCAAGUAAUCGCUCACAGCCAAAGCUUCCUGCGUCGCCGGCUCGCUGCUCUGGCCGCCCUCGCCCUCACAUACUUGUCUGCCAACUACUUCCCGUCGGAUCCGAGCCGUCGGAACCAGCAGCCCACACGCCGUCACCCUGUCCUUCCCGAGAUCUAGGUGUUGCCGUCAUGUCCGAGCUCUUGUCGGAGUCCUCCCCAAUCUCCGUGUUCCCGUGCUCUUGUUGGUUUCUCACCAAGCUCUGGCUGUCGGCAUACUCCCCAAGCUCCAGCUGGAAUCCUCCCCGAGCACCAAGCACGAAGAAGGUCCUCGUCCUGGCCAGCCUUUACAUCAAUGAAGCAGACCUCAUCAGGUGGUUGAUUGAUCUGCAUACUAAUGUUGGCAUGGCCUCUGUAUAAAAUUCUUGGGAAGCCUACAGGAAUUUUGUCACCGUCGUGCAGAAAUUUUUGCAGACCAUGUGAGGAACACAGGGAGCUUCCAUCACUGCAUCCACAAUUUAGUCCUUAUUUCAGUGGUCUCCGGCGCAAUGUAUUUAGGUCGUAUAAUUUCAGUUUGCUGCCAAGACUAUUCCUCAAAACUUUCACAGAUGGCUAAGCCCAUUGGCUAAGCCCAUUGUCUGCUGCUCCUUUCAUAGCACUUGCUGGAUUUGGGUCCUAAUUACUUGGUUUUACAUUGAAAAGUGAUUGCCCAUAGCCAUUACUCUCAUAGAGUUCAUGUGUGAUUGUUGCAUGAUUCCUUGCAUCUUCCCUGAAGACUGUUGUGCCUACAGGUUGCAGUCCGGGUGUGUCGGCAUUGCUACGACUGGAAAUCCACCUGAUCUGGACCUUGGGUUAAUUUCUUUUGCCGUUAGACUGUCGCCGAUCACCUGGGGUCUGCCCUGCCCCGUGAGUGAUGAGAUGUAGUGUGGUCGCGAGAUGAGGCCCGCGCACACCAACUUCGACAUAGUGAACACGGCGGCCGCCGCCACUAUCUCCGUCGGGAGCCGCCGCAGUCAGCCUACCUUGGAUCUAUGACAAGAUAAGGGAGGAGAGGCAUGCGUAUGAAUUUUUAUGAUGAUGCUAUGACUGAUUCAGAUCAUGUAAUGUUAUUCAUAACCAACCACGAGCUGAGUAUCUGAGAUAUCAUGGUUCACCUUCAUGUUCAUAAAUCAGAUUUGGUUACUUAAUCCAGGUCAAAUAUCAAAAUAUCAAUCUUACUUAGAGAUUUCAACUUUUUGUGGUCACGUGACACGGACAAUACUAGGAGUGACAUCACACAGCGCGGACUAGCAUGAGGUGGCGUUGCACAAGCAAUGACAACUCCCUGCGUGGCGGGAUCCUCCUCCCAAUGGUCGGAUCAUCCUACCGUAACCGUGAAUCACAUGUUGAUCAAUAUUUACCACUCCUUUCCUUUUUGUGCGAGUUCUCAUCCAAUGUUCAAACUCGUGUCUAUUGUUUUAAUAUUUUUGUAAAACAGCUACAGUGAUUAACAUUUGAUGUUUUUGGUCAGUGUCUUCGCGAAAAGAACAAAAUAGAGCACACACUAUUGGAUUCUGGUGCACUGUCUCUUCAGCGUAAUCCAACCGAUGAUCCAAAGUUAAUAAAGCUUUUGGAAGAAGAGCUCCAAAACUAUGUCCCCCUGGUCAUCCUACCGUGUCUGUUCUACGUGGAAGCUGUCGCUGAUGGUCAGCACGUGAAUAGUUGAGUUUAUUAUUGUUGUUUGUACGUGUAUAUUUUUGUAUCUCUAUCGUUGCAUUGUAUGUAUCUGCCUAACGGUGUCCAAAGCCAGGAGAAAAUACUGGAUUUUUUUGUAAGAAAGAGGGUGGCACUGGGGCUAAAUACCCUUCUCUGUUAUUCUUACUGAAACUAAAGGUGCAACCAGCCCUUCAGGUGAUGGCAAAGGUCACCACAAUUAUAUAAGAUGGGAGGUAGAUUUGCAUAUGAUCUAGCUCAGUAUUAUGUAAACGGUAACUUGAUUUACAUGUUGAUGUGAUAAUACAUGCGUUGAAGAAUAGGAUUAGUUCCACCAGGUGUGAUGAGCAUAUGCAAUUGAAGGUGUUAAAGAACAGGGUAUCUAAAAUACUUUUGUUGAUCAAUCAUUAUUUUUGGCCGCCUCUGAUUUAUGCUCUUUCUUGUGCUUUCUUAUUAACAUAAAUUUUGUCGGUUUUGUUGUCGAUGAUAUUAUUAGUAGAAAGCUUCAGAAUGUUAAAAACCUCAUAUGGAACACUAUCCUGAACUUGGAUUCAUUUCUCUUGCAGGUGCGAAGAAAAUCCGCUGUCUACAGUAUUGUCACAAUGCACAAACCUUGGGAGGCCACACUAGAUAUCUCGUAUAAUGGUGGAUUAUUGAGCAAUAAUCUUCAAGGCGUUGAAGAAAAAAAUGUUCAAUGUGCUCAGAGAGCAAUACCUGUAUACCUAUGAUGACAUAACAUAAUGGAUCAUACCUCAACUUAUUUACCAUGGCGCUUGGAAUUAUUUAAAACUUGUGUGUAACCUGCCAUCUAUGCAAGUUACUCAGGCACAACAAGCUCUAGAGUUCUGCUUUGCUUUAACCAUGAUGAUGGUUGGAGUUUCGGAGUCAACUUCACUUGCUCGGGAGUUUAGCAAAGUGCAAGAAGCAGUAGUCUCCAUUUUCAGGAUUGUUGAUAGGAUAUCCAAGAUUUACAUAAGCUCAAAGGUAGGAACGAUACUAGACAGAGUGAAAGGGAAUAUAGAGUUGAAUCUUUACAGAUUUGUGCUUUAGGAUACCAUCUGGAAAGGUACAUUUGGUUACUUGGGUAAUAUAUGAGUAGUAAUUCUUACUGUUACUUGUGAGCUUCAACAUAGUACGGUAAUUUCGAUGAGUUUAAGUUCAUGAAAUAAUAGAACCAAAUCUGUUUCUAAUUCUAUAUAUAUUGAAUAUAGAAUAUUUUAUUACCGCGCA